ACCAGGUAUAUAUUUCACCAAUAAUCCUUUUCUGUUCAUGUUUUGUUGUUUUCACCUGCUUUGUAUUCAUUUCUCUUGGAGGAGCUUUUAGUUUGAAAUUACGUGACCUCACUUCAUGGUGAGUUCGCGGCAUUUCUCUCAGUCAGCGUUACGCUCCCAGAGGAGAGAUGUGCAUGAGAUCAACCUGGCUUGUGAAGUUGCUUGCUAUAAUGACAUUUGAUGUUUCACACAGAAACAGAGUUGUAAUGACAUGGAGUCAGCGUUGCGCUCCCAGAGGAGAGAUGUGCAUGAGAUCAACCUGGCUUGUGUAGUUGCUUGCUGUACUGAUAUUUCAUGUUUCACACAGAGAAUACAUUCCCCUGGCUGGC